GCCCGGUUAGCUCAAUCGGUAGAGCGUAAGACUCUUAAACUUGCUAAAAGUGGACAGAACAAUCUUAAGGCUGCGGGUUCGACCCCCGCAUCGGGCU